UACGUAGGGUGCAAGCGUUGUCCGGAAUUAUUGGGCGUAAAGGGCUCGUAGGCGGUUUGUCGCGUCGGGAGUGAAAACUCAGGGCUUAACCCUGAGCCUGCUUCCGAUACGGGCAGACUAGAGGUAUGCAGGGGAGAAUGGAAUUCCUGGUGUAGCGGUGAAAUGCGCAGAUAUCAGGAGGAACACCGGUGGCGAAGGCGGAUCUCUGGGCCUUACCUGACGCUCAGGUGCGAAAGCUAGGGGAGCGAACAGG
rnacentral:rRNA from 1 species